AGGAUGGCGGAUGGUGAUGGACCUUGGUAUGACGGAUUAAUCGAUGAGUGGGAUAAGGAGCAUCGUGCUCGUGCCAUUGAAAAUGGACAGGUUGUAGUUGCUAUGCGCAUGAGGGGUCAUUCCGCUGAUGACUUUGAUUACGACCCGCGGUAUGAGCCUUACAUUGGGAGAUUGGGUCUUCUCCCAUUCGUGUUGCAGUUUAAGCGACGCGCUCCCCCGGUGAACCACGCGGCGCUGACCGCACUUGUGGAUCGUUGGAGGCCGGAGACUCACUCCUUCCACCUUCCAUGUGGGGAGAUGACGAUGACCCUACAGGACAUGGCUAUGAUAAGCGGCCUUCCUAUCAAUGGACAAGCUAUUACCGGUCGUGUCAGCGUGGGUAAUUGGCGAGAACGGACUGCCGAUUUAAUUGGCGUUCAGCCCGAGGGCCCUCAGGAAGGCAAGGCCGAUACAGCGAAAGUGAGGCAUUCUUGGCUAAAACUGGUCAGAGGAAACACCAACCCGUGCCCUUAGGAUGCCAAUGACGUGGUUGUGCAGCAGUACGCGCGGGCCUAUCUUUGGUAUGUACUAACCAAGGUAGUCUUCUCAGAUGCAACCGGGAACUCAGCCCUCUGGAUGUUCUUGGAGCCACUUAAUAACUGGGAUACCCAGUAUAGCUGGGGUUCGGCCGCACUAGCAUACUUGUAUCGUCAGCUUGACUUGGCGUGUCGGAGGAAGGGAGGUACAUCCUCAUUGUCUGGGUUUGUUUGGAGCCUAUCCGUGUGGAUGUGGGAGCGGAUCCCGGUUGGACGGCCCGAUUUGAAGAACCCCCUCAUGGCAAACCCACGGGGUAAUCAUGACGGGUUGCAUGAUGAUGAUCCAUAUCGGCGCCCUACGCUUGCUUACUA